UGACUAUACAAAGGUAUUGUAAUAAGACUUUAAUUGAGUGCUAAGAGAAUGGACUUUCAAAAAAAUACUUUCUUGAAUUUAAUAAUUGAAUUUAUUUUUAUUUGUGAAGAAACAAUAAUUAGUAUUAAGGACAAGAAGACCCUAAGAAUUUUUAAAUUUAAAUUUAAAAAUUUUUAAAUUUAAAUUUUUAAUUGGGGCGAUAUGAAAAUAUUUUUAACUUUUCCAAAAGAAAAAAUGACCCAUUAAUAGUGAUUAUUUGUAUUAAAUACUCUAGGGAUAACAGCGUAAUAAUUUUAGAUAGAUCGUAUAGAAAAAAUAGUUUGCGACCUCGAUGUUGGAUUAGGAUUUCUAUUUAAUGCAGAAGUUAAAAAUAGAAAGUUUGUUCAACUUUUAAAAUCCUACAU
rnacentral:rRNA from 1 species